UGGGGGAAUAUUGGGCAAUGGAGGAAACCCUGACCCAGCAACGCCGCGUGAAGGAAGAAGGCCUUCGGGUUGUAAACUUCUUUUAGUCAGGGACGAAGGACGUGACGGUACCUGCAGAAAAAGACAACGGCUAACUACGUGCCAGCAGCCGCGGUAAUACGUAGGUUGCAAGCGUUGUCCGGAUUUACUGGGUGUAAAGGGCGUGUAGGCGGAGAUGCAAGUCAGGAGUGAAAACCCGGGGCUCAACCCCGGAACUGCUUUUGAAACUGUAUCCCUUGAGUGUCGGAGAGGCAAGCGGAAUUCCUAGUGUAGCGGUGAAAUGCGUAGAUAUUAGGAGGAACACCAGUGGCGAAGGCGGCUUGCUGGACGAUAACUGACGCUGAGGCGCG
rnacentral:rRNA from 1 species